rnacentral:rRNA from 1 species
UUAGAGUUUGAUCCUGGCUCAGGAUGAACGCUGGCGGCAGGCUUAAUACAUGCAAGUUGAACGGUAACAUGAGAGUAGCAAUACUUUUGAUGACGAGUGGCGUACGGGUGCGUAACACGUGUGUAACCUACCUCAUACAGGAACAAAACACUUGGAAACGGGUGCUAAUAUUCCAUAGUAUUAUGAAGAGGCAUCUUUUUGUAAUUAAAGUUACGAUGGUAUGAGAUGGGCACGCGGUCCAUUAGCUAGUUGGUAAGGUAACGGCUUACCAAGGCGACGAUGGAUAGGGGUUCUGAGAGGAAAGACCCCCACAUUGGAACUGAGACACGGUCCAAACUCCUACGGGAGGCAGCAGUAAGGAAUAUUGGUCAAUGGAGGCAACUCUGAACCAGCCAUGCCGCGUGCAGGAAUAAGGCCCUAUGGGUCGUAAACUGCUUUUAUUAGAGGAUAAAGUGAAGUACGAGUACUUUAUUGCAGGUAUCUAAUGAAUAAGCAUCGGCUAACUCCGUGCCAGCAGCCGCGGUAAUACGGAGGAUGCAAGCGUUAUCCGGAUUUAUUGGGUUUAAAGGGUGCGCAGGCGGACCAAUAAGUCAGUGGUGAAAUCUACAUGCUUAACAUGUAACGUGCCAUUGAUACUGUUGGACUAGUAUUUAAAUGACGUAGCUGGAAUGUGUUAUGUAGCGGUGAAAUGCGUAGAUAUAACACAGAACGCCGAUCGUGAAGACAGGUUACGAAUUUAACAUAGACGCUCAUGCACGAAAGCGUGGGGAUCAAACAGGAUUAGAUACCCUGGUAGUCCACGCGGUAAACGAUGAAUGCUAGGUGUAAGGCCUGAAAAAGGUUUUGUGCCGCAGUUAACACAAUAAGCAUUCCACCUGGGGAGUACGGCCGCAAGGUUGAAACUCAAAGGAAUUGACGGGAGCCCGCACAAGCAGUGGAGUAUGUGGUUUAAUUUGACGCAACGCGAAGAACCUUACCGGAGCUUGACAUCCCGAGAAGACCGAUGUAAUGUUGGUUGUGCCCCUUCGGGGGAAUUUGGAGACAGGUGGUGCAUGGUUGUUGUCAGCUCGUGUUGUGAGAUGUUGGGUUAAGUCCCGCAACGAGCGCAACCCCUACGGUCAGUUGCUACGCAAGAGCACUUUAAUGGGACCGCUACCGACAAGGUGGAGGAAGGUGGGGAUGACGUCAAAUCAUCAUGCCCCUUAUGACCUGGGCUACACACGUAAUACAAUGGCGGCUACAAAGAGACGGGAACCUGCGAGGGUGAGCAAAUCUCAAAAAGGUCGUCCCAGUUCGGAUUGUAGUCUGCAACUCGCCUGCAUGAAGCUGGAAUCGCUAGUAAUCGCGAAUCAGAAUGUCGCGGUGAAUACAUUCCCGGGCCUUGCACACACCGCCGGUCAAG